GACGGAGGAUGCAAGCGUUAUCCGGAAUGAUUGGGCGUAAAGCGUCCGCAGGUGGCAGUUCAAGUCUGCUGUCAAAGACCGGGGCUUAACUUCGGAAAGGCAGUGGAAACUGAACAGCUAGAGUAUGGUAGGGGCAGAGGGAAUUCCUGGUGUAGCGGUGAAAUGCGUAGAGAUCAGGAAGAACAUCGGUGGUGAAGGCGCUCUGCUGGACCAUAACUGACACUCAGGGACGAAAGCUAGGGGAGCGAAUGGG
rnacentral:rRNA from 1 species